rnacentral:rRNA from 1 species
GGACGAACGCUGGCGGUGUGCUUAACACAUGCAAGUGGUGCGACGAACCAGAGCUUGCUCUGGGGCAAAGCCGCGAACGGGUGAGUAACACGUGGGUAAUCUACCCCGAUGACCGGGACAACCCGAGGAAACUCGGGCUAAUACCGGAUGUGGUACGGAGACAUAAGUCUCUUUACUAAAAGUAGCUUCGGCUUCCGCAUUGGGAGGGGCCCGCGGCCCAUUAGCUAGUUGUGGGGUCAAGGCCUACCAAGGCAACGAUGGGUAGCUGGUCUGAGAGGACGAUCAGCCACACUGGGACUGAGACACGGCCCAGACUCCUACGGGAGGCAGCAGUGGGGAAUCUUGCGCAAUGCGCGAAAGCGUGACGCAGCAACACCGCGUGAGGGAAGACGGCCUUAGGGUUGUAAACCUCUUUCAGAUGGGACGAAGGUGAUGCGGUGAAUAGCCGAUGUCAUUGACGGUACCGUCAGAAGUAGCUCCGGCUAACUACGUG